UACGAAGGGGGCUAGCGUUGCUCGGAAUCACUGGGCGUAAAGGGUGCGUAGGCGGGUCUUUUAAGUCAGGGGGUGAAAUCCUGGAGCUCAACUCCAGAACUGCCUUCGAUACUGGCGAUCUUGAGUCCGGAAGAGGUGAGUGGAACUCCUAGUGUAGAGGUGGAAUUCGUAGAUAUUAGGAAGAACACCAGUGGCGAAGGCGGCUCACUGGUCCGGUACUGACGCUGAGGUGCGAAAGCGUGGGGAGCAAACAGGG
rnacentral:rRNA from 1 species